UACGUAGGGUACAAGCGUUGUCCGGAAUUAUUGGGCGUAAAGAGCUCGUAGGUGGUCUGUCACGUCUGCUGUGGAAACGCAAGGCUCAACCUUGCGCGUGCAGUGGGUACGGGCGGACUAGAGUGCAGUAGGGGAGUCUGGAAUUCCUGGUGUAGCGGUGAAAUGCGCAGAUAUCAGGAGGAACACCGGUGGCGAAGGCGGGACUCUGGGCUGUAACUGACGCUGAGGAGCGAAAGCAUGGGGAGCGAACAGGAUUAGAUACCCCCGUAGUCC
rnacentral:rRNA from 1 species